rnacentral:misc_RNA from 1 species
GCAAACUUGGUCAUUUAGAGGAAGUAAAAGUCGUAACAAGGUUUCCGUAGGUGAACCUGCGGAAGGAUCAUUACCGAGUUAGGGUCCCCCUCGCGGGGCCCGACCUCCCAACCCCGUGUCUAAUAAACCUGUACGUGUUGCUUCGGCGGACCGGCGGGGUCGCGAGACCUCGGCCGCCGGGGGAAGGCCUGUCCUCCCCUGGAGCGCGUCCGUCGAUGGCCCAACCAAAACAAAUUCCCAAAACCGAAACGAUUGACCUUUUUUGGAACCCUCUGAAUCAAACCACGGUUUGAUGUAACAAUCAAAAAACAAAACUUUCAACAACGGAUCUCUUGGUUCUGGCAUCGAUGAAGAACGCAGC